AUUGAACGCUGGCGGCAUGCCUUACACAUGCAAGUCGAACGGCAGCACGGGAGCAAUCCUGGUGCCGAGUGGCGAACGGGUGAGUAAAGUAUCGGAACGUGCCCAGUCGUGGGGGAUAACGUAGCGAAAGUUACGCUAAUUCCGCAUACGAUCUAUGGAUGAAAGCGGGGGAUCGCAAGACCUCGCGCGAUUGGAGCGGCCGAUAUCAGAUUAGGUAGUUGGUGGGGUAAAGGCUCACCAAGCCGACGAUCUGUAGCUGGUCUGAGAGGACGACCAGCCACACUGGGACUGAGACACGGCCCAGACUCCUACGGGAGGCAGCAGUGGGGAAUUUUGGACAAUGGGCGCAAGCCUGAUCCAGCCAUGCCGCGUGCAGGAUGAAGGCCUUCGGGUUGUAAACUGCUUUUGUACGGAACGAAAAGGUUUGGCCUAAUAAGCUGAGCUCAUGACGGUACCGUAAGAAUAAGCACCGGCUAACUACGUGCCAGCCGCCGCCGUAA
rnacentral:rRNA from 1 species